rnacentral:rRNA from 1 species
UACGAAGGGGGCUAGCGUUGCUCGGAAUCACUGGGCGUAAAGCGCACGUAGGCGGGUCGUUAAGUCGGGGGUGAAAUCCUGGAGCUCAACUCCAGAACUGCCUUCGAUACUGGCGACCUUGAGUCCGGGAGAGGUGAGUGGAACUCCGAGUGUAGAGGUGAAAUUCGUAGAUAUUCGCAAGAACACCAGUGGCGAAGGCGGCUCACUGGCCCGGUACUGACGCUGAGGUGCGAAAGCGUGGGGAGCAAACAGG